GGGCUUUGAAAAACGCUUUCCUUGAUAAAAUUUAAGCGUUUUAUAAGAGGAUGCCCGGGAAGGUUUUCCGGUUUAUCCCGGAGGGCUUGUAGCUCAGUUGGUUAGAGCGCGCGCUUGAUAAGCGUGAGGUCGGAGGUUCAAGUCCUCCCAGGCCCACCAGUUUAUCCAUUACUUUCAUAAGUGCUUUUAAAAAAUAAGUACUUCUAAAAAGAUUGCUUCUAAAAAGCUUAUCAAAAUUGGCAGGCUUAUUGCUUUUGUGUGAGUAAUCCAAAGUUAAAGCAAAUUAAUGGCAAAAAAACAGUUCAAAUGCUAAAUACUAAGGAGUCAAAAUUCCUUGCAAAGUGAUUUUUACAGCGUCCAUUUGGUUGAUAUAAAUUCCAAAUGCUCAUAGACGUCAAUGCCUAUAUGAAACUAUCGGUUCAAUCAUAUCGCUUUGAGUUAUAUAGAUUUUGUAAUCCCUCUUUUGAUCGUUUUAAACGCUUUAUCCUGAUUUAGGGGCCGUAGCUCAGCUGGGAGAGCACCUGCUUUGCAAGCAGGGGGUCGUCGGUUCGAUCCCGUCCGGCUCCACCAUAAGGUCAUCA
rnacentral:tRNA from 1 species